CAAGCGUUGUUCGGAAUCAUUGGGCGUAAAGCGCGCGCAGGCGGCUUGGUAAGUCAGAUGUGAAAUCCCUGGGCUUAACCCAGGAAGUGCAUUUGAUACUGCCUCGCUAGAGUACGGGAGAGGAAAGUGGAAUUCCUGGUGUAGAGGUGAAAUUCGUAGAUAUCAGGAGGAACACCGGUGGCGAAGGCGACUUCCUGGCCCGAUAUUGACGCUCAGGCGCGAAAGCGUGGGGAGC
rnacentral:rRNA from 1 species